rnacentral:rRNA from 1 species
AACGAGAACGGGAUUAAGUUUACUUAAUUUGUCAGCUAAGUGGCGCACGGGUGAGUAAUGUAUAGUUAACCUGCCCUCGAGAAAGGAAUAACAGUUGGAAACGACUGCUAAUGCCCUAUAUGCCUUUAAGACAUAAGUCUACAAGGGAAAUGCUUUUGUGCUCGAGGAUGGGACUGUAUGGUAUCAGAUAGUUGGUGAGGUAAUGGCUCACCAAGUCAAUGACGCCUAACUGGUUUGAGAGGAUGAUCAGUCACACUGGAACUGAGACACGGUCCAGACUCCUACGGGAGGCAGCAGUGGGGAAUAUUGCACAAUGGAGGAAACUCUGAUGCAGCAACGCCGCGUGGAGGAUGACACUUUUCGGAGCGUAAACUCCUUUUAUAUAGGAAGAUAAUGACGGUACUAUAUGAAUAAGCGCCGGCUAACUCCGUGCCAGCAGCCGCGGUAAUACGGAGGGCGCAAGCGUUACUCGGAAUCACUGGGCGUAAAGAGCGUGUAGGCGGGUUAAUAAGUCAGAAGUGAAAUCCUAUAGCUCAACUAUAGAACUGCUUUUGAAACUGUUAACCUAGAAUAUGGGAGAGGUAGAUGGAAUUUCUGGUGUAGGGGUAAAAUCCGUAGAGAUCAGAAGGAAUACCGAUUGCGA